UACGUAGGGGGCAAGCGUUGUCCGGAUUUAUUGGGCGUAAAGAGCGUGUAGGCGGCCGUGUAGGUCUGACGUGAAAUCUGGAGGCUCAACCUCCAGCUGUCGUUGGAAACCGUUCGGCUAGAGUCCGGAAGAGGAGAGUGGAAUUCCUGGUGUAGCGGUGAAAUGCGCAGAUAUCAGGAAGAACACCUAUGGCGAAGGCGGCAUCCUGGACCAACACUGACACUGAGGAGCGAAAGCCAGGGGAGCAAACGGG
rnacentral:rRNA from 1 species